AUGUCGAGCGCCGCCACCACCGGUUCCACAGCUGCGGGCUUCCUCCCGGCCUCUCUUGCGGCUCUGCUCAACCUCCCGCUCGAUGCCGUCUCUGUUCCGGCUCCGAUCGGGACAAGGAGCAUCGGCUCCGUCUUCUCCACGCCGCCGGCGCCCUCGCUUGGGCGUGACCUCGUGGUCCACACCGCGGCGCCGCCGUCCGCUGCGGACUCCGCAGGCGUCGUCCCGCCGCUCCUGCCGCAAGCGGAUCACACUGCCCCGCUGGCGGGGUUGGCGGCGUCCGCCCCGGCCGCGGGCCUUGCGGCGUCCGUACCGGCCGCGAGCUUUGCGGCGCCCGCCCUGGCUGCGGUCCCGCCUCCUCCCGCAUCGGCUUUGGUGCCUCCGGCUGCCUCCAUGGUGUUUGCACCCCAGGCAGCCUCCUCGAUGGGAUUGUCUUCGCCGCCGCCGUUUCACUUCGGUCAUCUCAUCACCAUCAAGCUCUCCGCCGACAACUACAUUUUCUGGCGUGCGCAGGUUCUCCCGCUCUUGGGGAGUCACUACCUGCUAGGCUACGUCGACGGAUUGCUUCCCUGCCCACCCGCGCUGGUAGACAGCGUGCACGGUCCGGUCUACAAUCCGGCCCAUCGCGUCUGGACGGGGCAGGACCAGGCGAACCUCUCCUCCAUCCAGGGGUCGCUCUCGCCGGCAGUUGCCGGCCUUGUUGUCUUCGCGAAGACGUCUCAUGAGGCCUGGACCAUCCUUGAGCGCACCUUUGCAGCGCAGUCCCAGGCUCGUGUCUCUGCACUCCGUCGUCAGCUUGGAGAGUGUCAGAAGCUUGACUCCACUGCCACUGAGUUCUACAACAAGGUCAAGGGCCUCGCCGACACAUUGGCCUCCAUUGGACAACCCCUCACCGACUCCGAGUUCAACUCGUUUAUUGUCAAUGGUCUUGAUGAGGAGUAUGAUGCCUUAGUCGAGAUCAUCAACGAGCGGGGCAACUCGACACCCAUGCUGGCACACGAGGUUUUCUCUCGGCUCCUUCUCACUGAGCAAUGGGUCGAGACUCGCCGCACCAGGGGCACUGGCUCCCUCUCGGCCAACGCCGCCACCAAGGGUGGCCGCUCUUCUUCAUCACCCCGGUCUCCCUUGGGGCUGCCACCGUCGCCCGCCUCGGCCCCCCACCUACUGCGACCUUACCGGGGGCUGGCGGUCCAUGUGUGUGUCAGCUUUGUGGCCGCGAUGGGCACUGGGCCUCCAAGUGUCAUAAGCGCUUCCAGCGAAGCUUCCUUGGUCUUGGCAAUGACGGCAAAGAUACACGCAACAAUGCCCGUCAGGUCGCCAUGGCUGAUCGUCCCGCGCCGCAGAAGCAACAGGGACACACUCAGUCCUACUCCAUCGAUCCACACUGGUACAUGGACUCUGGGGCGACAAAGCAUCUAA
rnacentral:rRNA from 1 species